rnacentral:rRNA from 2 species
GUUUGAUCCUGGCUGAGAUUGAACGCUGGCGGCAUGCCUUACACAUGCAAGUCGAACGGCAGCGCGGGAGCAAUCCUGGCGGCGAGUGGCGAACGGGUGAGUAAUACAUCGGAACGUGCCCAAUCGUGGGGGAUAACGCAGCGAAAGCUGUGCUAAUACCGCAUACGAUCUACGGAUGAAAGCAGGGGAUCGCAAGACCUUGCGCGAAUGGAGCGGCCGAUGGCAGAUUAGGUAGUUGGUGAGGUAAAGGCUCACCAAGCCUUCGAUCUGUAGCUGGUCUGAGAGGACGACCAGCCACACUGGGACUGAGACACGGCCCAGACUCCUACGGGAGGCAGCAGUGGGGAAUUUUGGACAAUGGGCGCAAGCCUGAUCCAGCCAUGCCGCGUGCAGGAUGAAGGCCUUCGGGUUGUAAACUGCUUUUGUACGGAACGAAACGGCCUUUUCUAAUAAAGAAGGCUAAUGACGGUACCGUAAGAAUAAGCACCGGCUAACUACGUGCCAGCAGCCGCGGUAAUACGUAGGGUGCAAGCGUUAAUCGGAAUUACUGGGCGUAAAGCGUGCGCAGGCGGUAAUGUAAGACAGUUGU